AUUGAACGCUGGCGGCAGGCCUAACACGUGCAAGUCGAGCGGAUGAAGGGAGCUUGCUCCUGGAUUCAGCGGCGGACGGGUGAGUAAUGCCUAGGAAUCUGCCUGGUAGUGGGGGAUAACGUCCGGAAACGGGCGCUAAUACCGCGUACGUCCUGAGGGAGAAAGUGGGGGAUCUUCGGACCUCACGCUAUCAGAUGAGCCUAGGUCGGAUUAGCUAGUUGGUGGGGUAAAGGCCUACCAAGGCGACGAUCCGUAACUGGUCUGAGAGGAUGAUCAGUCACACUGGAACUGAGACACGGUCCAGACUCCUACGGGAGGCAGCAGUGGGGAAUAUUGGACAAAGGGCGAAAGCCUGAUCCAGCCAUGCCGCGUGUGUGAAGAAGGUCUUCGGAUUGUAAAGCACUUUAAGUUGGGAGGAAGGGCAGUAAGUUAAUACCUUGCUGUUUUGACGUUACCAACAGAAUAAGCACCGGCUAACUUCGUG
rnacentral:rRNA from 1 species